rnacentral:rRNA from 1 species
UACGUAGGUGGCAAGCGUUGUCCGGAUUUACUGGGUGUAAAGGGCGUGUAGCCGGGUUGACAAGUCGGAUGUGAAAUCCUGCGGCUUAACCGCAGAACUGCAUUUGAAGCUGUUGAUCUUGAGUACUGGAGAGGCAGACGGAAUUCCUAGUGUAGCGGUGAAAUGCGUAGAUAUUAGGAGGAACACCAGUGGCGAAGGCGGUCUGCUGGACAGCAACUGACGGUGAGGCGCGAAAGCGUGGGGAGCAAACAGG